rnacentral:rRNA from 1 species
UUAGGACAUGAAGUGGUCGAUGCCAUGCUUCCAGGAAAAGCUUCUAAGCUUCAGGUAACCAGGAACCGUACCCCAAACCGACACAGGUGGUUGGGUAGAGAAUACCAAGGCGCUUGAGAGAACUCGGGUGAAGGAACUAGGCAAAAUGGCACCGUAACUUCGGGAGAAGGUGCGCCGGCGAAGGUGAAGGGUUUACCCCGUAAGCUUUUGCCGGUCGAAGAUACCAGGCCGCUGCGACUGUUUAUUAAAAACACAGCACUCUGCAAACACGAAAGUGGACGUAUAGGGUGUGACGCCUGCCCGGUGCCGGAAGGUUAAUUGAUGGGGUUAGCGCAAGCGAAGCUCUUGAUCGAAGCCCCGGUAAACGGCGGCCGUAACUAUAACGGUCCUAAGGUAGCGAAAUUCCUUGUCGGGUAAGUUCCGACCUGCACGAAUGGCGUAACGAUGGCGGCGCUGUCUCCACCCGAGACUCAGUGAAAUUGAAAUCGCUGUGAAGAUGCAGUGUAUCCGCGGCUAGACGGAAAGACCCCGUGAACCUUUACUAUAGCUUUGCACUGGACUUUGAGCUUGCUUGUGUAGGAUAGGUGGGAGGCUUUGAAGCGUGGACGCCAGUCUGCGUGGAGCCAACCUUGAAAUACCACCCUGGCAACCUUGAGGUUCUAACUCAGGUCCGUUAUCCGGAUCGAGGACAGUGUAUGGUGGGUAGUUUGACUGGGGCGGUCUCCUCCCAAAGAGUAACGGAGGAGUACGAAGGUGCGCUCAGACCGGUCGGAAAUCGGUCGUAGAGUAUAAAGGCAAAAGCGCGCUUGACUGCGAGACAGACACGUCGAGCAGGUACGAAAGUAGGUCUUAGUGAUCCGGUGGUUCUGUAUGGAAGGGCCAUCGCUCAACGGAUAAAAGGUACUCCGGGGAUAACAGGCUGAUACCGCCCAAGAGUUCAUAUCGACGGCGGUGUUUGGCACCUCGAUGUCGGCUCAUCACAUCCUGGGGCUGAAGCCGGUCCCAAGGGUAUGGCUGUUCGCCAUUUAAAGUGGUACGCGAGCUGGGUUUAGAACGUCGUGAGACAGUUCGGUCCCUAUCUGCCGUGGACGUUUGAGAUUUGAGAGGGGCUGCUCCUAGUACGAGAGGACCGGAGUGGACGAACCUCUGGUGUUCCGGUUGUCACGCCAGUGGCAUUGCCGGGUAGCUAUGUUCGGAAGAGAUAACCGCUGAAAGCAUCUAAGCGGGAAACUUGCCUCAAGAUGAGAUCUCACUGGAGCCUUGAGCUCCCUGAAGGGCCGUCGAAGACUACGACGUUGAUAGGUGGGGUGUGUAAGCGCUGUGAGGCGUUGAGCUAACCCAUACUAAUUGCCCGUGAGGCUUGACCAUAUAACACCCAAGCA